rnacentral:tRNA from 1 species
GGCCCCAUCGUCUAGUGGCCUAGGACACCACCCUCUCAAGGUGGCGACACGGGUUCGAAUCCCGUUGGGGCUGCCA